AGAGUUUGAUCCUGGCUCAGGAUGAACGCUGGCGGCGUGCCUAAUACAUGCAAGUCGAGCGAACAGAUGAGAAGCUUGCUUCUCUGAUGUUAGCGGCGGACGGGUGAGUAACACGUGGGUAACCUACCUAUAAGACUGGGAUAACUCCGGGAAACCGGGGCUAAUACCGGAUAAUAUAUUGAACCGCAUGGUUCAAUGUUGAAAGACGGUUUCGGCUGUCACUUAUAGAUGGACCCGCGCCGUAUUAGCUAGUUGGUAAGGUAACGGCUUACCAAGGCAACGAUACGUAGCCGACCUGAGAGGGUGAUCGGCCACACUGGAACUGGGACACGGUCCAGACUCCUACGGGAGGCAGCAGUAGGGAAUCUUCCGCAAUGGGCGAAAGCCUGACGGAGCAACGCCGCGUGAGUGAUGAAGGUCUUAGGAUCGUAAAACUCUGUUGUUAGGGAAGAACAAAUUUGUUAGUAACUGAACAAGUCUUGACGGUACCUAACCAGAAAGCCACGGCUAACUACGUG
rnacentral:rRNA from 1 species